UACGUAGGGGGCAAGCGUUGUCCGGAUCUAUUGGGCGUAAAGAGCGUGUAGGCGGCUUUACAGGUCCGUUGUGAAAACUCGAGGCUCAACCUCGAGACGCCGGUGGAAACCGUAAAGCUAGAGUCCGGAAGAGGAGAGUGGAAUUCCUGGUGUAGCGGUGAAAUGCGCAGAUAUCAGGAGGAACACCCGUGGCGAAAGCGGCUCUCUGGGACGGUACUGACGCUGAGACGCGAAAGCGUGGGGAGCAAACAGG
rnacentral:rRNA from 1 species